GCGUAACGCGUGGANAUCUGCCCUUNGGUUCGGGAUAACCAGUUGGAAACGACUGCUAAUACCGGAUGAUGACUUCGGUCCCAAAGAUUUAUCGCCCAGGGGAUGAGCCCGCGUCGGAUUAGCUAGUUGGUGGGGUAAAAGCUCACCAAGGCGACGAUCCGUAGCUGGUCUGAGAGAGUGAUCAGCCACCUGGGACUGAGACACGGCCCAGACUCCUACGGGAGGCAGCAGUGGGGAAUAUUGGACAAUGGGCGAAAGCCUGAUCCAGCAAUGCCGCGUGAGUAAUGAAGGCCUUAGGGUUGUAA
rnacentral:rRNA from 1 species